rnacentral:misc_RNA from 1 species
GAUGAAGAACGUAGCGAAAUGCGAUAACUAGUGUGAAUUGCAGAUUUCAGUGAAUCAUCGAAUCUUUGAACGCACAUUGCGCCCGCCAGUAUUCUGGCGGGCAUGCCUGUUCGAGCGUCAUUACAACCCUCAGGCCCCCGGGCCUGGCGUUGGGGAUCGGCGGAGCCCCCCGUGGGCACACGCCGUCCCCCAAAUACAGUGGCGGUCCCGCCGCAGCUUCCAUCGCGUAGUAGCUAACACCUCGCGACUGGAGAGCGGCGCGGCCACGCCGUAAAACACCCAACUCUUCUGAAGUUGACCUCGAAUCAGGUAGGAAUACCCGCUGAACUUAAGCAUAUCAAUAAGCGGAGGA